ACCCUAUGGAAGAUCAAAUUCUACAUGGGCUUCAUCUCUUGGCAUUUUAAAGAAUGGGGUAAAUGUUUUCGCCGAACAUGAAUUCUGUGCCGGAAGAAGCCGCAGUUUCGGGCACAGUGUUAAUCCCAAUGCGGUUCGUUUGGAGACAUGGUGGAAACAGUGUUUUUCUUUGUGGCUCUUUCACUCAGUGGGCUCAGCUUGUGCCGAUGUUGCCCGUUGAGAAUUGUGAUAACGUGUUUCAAACUGUUUAUGGCUUAUCGCCUGGAUACCAGCAGGUCAG